AACAACCGGGAUUGCUUAGUAACGGCGAGUGAAGCGGCAAAAGCUCAAAUUUGAAAUCUGGUACCUUCGGUGCCCGAGUUGUAAUUUGGAGAGGGCAACUUUGGGGCCGUUCCUUGUCUAUGUUCCUUGGAACAGGACGUCAUAGAGGGUGAGAAUCCCGUGUGGCGAGGAGUGCGGUUCUUUGUAAAGUGCCUUCGAAGAGUCGAGUUGUUUGGGAAUGCAGCUCUAAGUGGGUGGUAAAUUCCAUCUAAAGCUAAAUAUUGGCGAGAGACCGAUAGCGAACAAGUACAGUGAUGGAAAGAUGAAAAGAACUUUGAAAAGAGAGUGAAAAAGUACGUGAAAUUGUUGAAAGGGAAGGGCAUUUGAUCAGACAUGGUGUUUUGUGCCCUCUGCUCCUUGUGGGUAGGGGAAUCUCGCAUUUCACUGGGCCAGCAUCAGUUUUGGUGGCAGGAUAAAUCCAUAGGAAUGUAGCUUGCCUCGGUAAGUAUUAUAGCCUGUGGGAAUACUGCCAGCUGGGACUGAGGACUGCGACGUAAGUCAAGGAUGCUGGCAUAAUGGUAGAUCCCU
rnacentral:rRNA from 1 species